GGAGAGAUGUGGGAGGAAUAUGAGGUGAGGAGACAGAGGGGAAGCCCUAUGGAGGGCACAAGGGGAGGUGGAAGAGGAAGUUGAACAUCGGACAGAACCUUGGUUUUGUCGAAGGGUGUGGGUGCCUCUUCAUUUCCUCAUAGUCAGGACCUGAUCAACCAGCUGAUCAACCAGCUCCAAAUGCUCGGGUAAUCACCUCACCUGCACCACGUUGACCGAGAAGAAAGUGUUCUAGUUCAUCAAGGCUUGAGUCAAUAACCAGACUGCAGGCGCACACUCUGUACGUAUUUAAAAACGUGAGAAUUUGUGACACGCUGCAGACGCCAUUCGUGAUGAUUAACUAUUGCAUGUUGGAGAGCCUGUGUGAGUGUGUGAGUGCGUGUGUGUGUGUUUUUAUCUUCCGGUCUCAGCAAAGUGAAUCGUGUUAUAUAUUGAUGCCUCGCUCUUUACGCCUUCAUGGAGUGUAAAAUUAACGAGCUGUCGGGCUAUGCGGAUGAGAUUAAACGUCGUGCGUGUUUGCAUGUGUGUGUGUGUGUGUAUGUUUGUGUGGAAGCAUGAUUCAUUGAUGGUGGGCAUUUGGAGGGCUGCUGCACUGCAUGCUAAACCGACGCCACAGGCUGUGUGGGGCUCAAGAAUAGCUGGACGACUGUUGCUUAGUCUGACCAGAACACUCCAAGCUGUGCGACCCCAACCCUAAACCGCCCUCGCGUUCAUGUGCAGGCAACAUAUAAACACUACAAAAAUGGCUCAUGGCAGACUGAGACGUUUUUGUGAACAUACACUAUAUAGUGUCAAGUGUUUAUUUGAAAAUAGAGCACCUUCCCCUUUGAGUCAUCUGAAAGCUGUGUAUGACUAAGUGGUGAAUGCUGUAAUCAAAUUUAGACCCCCAGGUUAACACUGUUAUAUCUGUCAGCAAUGUAGCUGUUGUUUGCACCGUUCACACUGUUGGGACUGUUUUUGUUGUAUUUGUUGACAAAUAUAAUCCUUGAGAUUUGAAUUAAAGGAACCUUCUUCAUCCUCCUUUGCAGAACGGUCCGAGGUGAGAUUGCCUUGGCUGUUUGUAAUUUCAUCAGCCUCACUUUCCUACGACGGCUCUUUCACAUUUAAAGGAUUGGAGUGGUGGAGCACAGGGGGACGCUUAUUGGAGCACAUUGUUUACUACAGAUUGUGACCUUAAUAAAAACUCAACCAAUCGCCUUGCAACUAAAAAGGUGGUAUGAGAAUCUUUCACACCAUUCGUCAUUCGUUUAAAAAUAGGUGGGGUCAAAAUAUAUUGUAACGCGCAGCAACUAACAUGAGUCCCAUUCUCCGUGUCUACCUCGUCCGACCGGGUCCUUCGGAGAGAAUCCGUUUAGUCAAAGCUGCCGCUGUCUUAUUGUUAUUGUAGGUUAAUCUUUCUAAGGCGCAUGUUCCCUUAUCGGAGCGCUGCAGUCACUACGCACCUCGAUUAGCUUCUUGCAGUGAAAUAAUUAAAAUCACACUAAUCUUUGCAAAUAUGAAAUGUUGCUACCCGUCUAAUUAGAGGCCUCAGAGGCAAACAGCACAGAGGAAAACUAAAGGCGCCAGACUCUGAAGCUGAAGUUGGCUGCUGCUGUUGUUUAAUGCAGGAGGCAUUUUGGGGUGUGGGAUGAAUAAAACAUCAGAGCACCUAGUUUAUUUCCAUCCUCCACCGUAACUCGUUCUUUACAUAAUUGAAUUCUGGCCCGUUCGCGGCGCUGCUUCUAAUUGAACCUCUGCCCGUUAGCCUGGGAAUGAUUUGUUUCUGCGUGGAGGGCUGAGGAGACCUCCUCCAGAUCACUGAAAGGGUUGAGGUCCAUGUAUCAAUCCUGUUUGUGGUAAGAAAAGAGGACUGUUUGCAUCACCUUCCCUCACAUGCCUGCAGACUUCAAGCUUCUCCUUCUGUCCGUGGGUGAGAAGCUACACCCUCCUGCCCAGCAACCAUUCAACCUGGAUGAUUUACACUCUGAACUGACCCCCCCCUUCUCGCCCCUGCAGGUCAAAGUCUCCCCCUUCCUCCACUUCUUUGUUCACACAGGGUUAUUUUGUUAAUGUGUGACUUGUUGCCUAAUCUGUCAUGUUGCGCGUUACAGUAGAGUGCCCCCCCCCUCCCUUCCCUCGACUUUGCAGGCCUCAAUUGUGAGAGAUGCUUAGCCCAUUGUGCAGCAAGGUUUUUUAUGCACAGCCAUGCCCUCCCCAUAUGGACGCCAUUGUGGCUUGCAAUAAAUGGUCACAUUCAGCCCCACUUCCGCCUUCUCAUUGAACAGCGUCACAUUAGCAUUCUGCUGCGACACAUAGUGAGGGAUUACAGGUAGUGAGCUUGGUCAAAUGUAGGAGAAGGAAGUGAUCCUCGGUAUGUGAGCAAACCAUCACGUUGUUAGGCUGCAAGCAUUUAGGUGCCGUUUUAUGGCUCUCGGUCGCUGUGGUUAUUCUCAGCUCAAUUAACAGAUGAGGUUUUAUGGAGUGAGCUAACAAGGUCUGCAGAGGUCCUGUUAGGCCAGUUCAGCAGUCUGAUCUUAAGUUGAAAUAUGACUCAGUUAAUGGCCUCUAAAUGCUGCAUGGGAAAAGGACGAAUACCAAGCUCUGCUUCAUGCUGGCGCGCAGGGAAAAGGCUUUUUGAGGUUUUAUCGAUAGCCUUUGCACAUGAAUCAAUGUCAUGCUGAUCAUCCUUACAGAUGGACUGUCUUUUCUCAUGUUUUUAAAGUAAGGGAACAAAUAAAUAACCAGAAAUGACGUAAGAUUUGUGUGAUAGUAUUGAAUUGCGGUUGUAUUGGAGGGGCUGUCGUUGUGAUUGUGAUUGCAAGAAAACUAUGAAAGGUUGAAGAAAGCUGGAUCAAAUACAACACGUGGCAAGGGGCAGUGACAGAUAACAAGUUACAAUCUCUUGGUGAACUAUGACUUCAGUAUGAAGACGUCAAAGAGACGUUCCACGCCCGUGAACCCCCACCGCAUGAUUUCAACGUGGACAAUAUGUGUCACGGUGGUGUGGUGGUUAGCACUGUCGCCUCACAGCAAGAAGGUCCUGGGUUCGAUUCUGCAUGUUCUCCGUGUCUGUGUGGGUUCUCUCCGGGUUCUCUGGCUUCCUCCCACAGUCCAAAGACAUGCUCUGGGCAUCAGGUUGAUUGGUGACUCUAAAUUGCCCGCAGGUGUAUGUAUGAGAACGGUUGUGUGUCUCUGUGUAGCUCUGCGAUUGGGUGGCGACCAGUCUAGGUUGGACCCUGUCUAUCGCCUGAAGUUGGCUGGGAUGGACUCCAGCCCCCCCGCGACCCUGCGUGCAGGAUAAGCGGUUUGACAAUGGAUGGAUGGAUGGAUGAAUUUACAUAUAAUAGUUAACAAUUAUAUUAUUUAACAACUUUGUUACUGCCAAACAUUAUCGUUGGAAAAGUUAUUGCAUCAAUGUACAUGAAUUUCUCUCUAAAUGUUUGAAAAAGUGUCAUGUAAAUGUUGUUGUGCUUUUUUGUUCAUAUGAUAAUGCUAAAUGUGGCAAAACUGCGCAGGAUUUUAGACCGUGCAACAUUUUACAAACGGCGCCCCAUAAACCACCACACCACCGCGCCGCCCAUGUUGUGUUGGUGGUCAGUUAUAUUUUGCAUGCUAAUCAGAAAGAGAGAACUGGCUGCUGUUUUGCUUUAGUUUAAUUUCUGCUGUUUUCCUCAGUUGGUUUUUAUAAUAUUAACACCGUUUUUAUAGGCAUUUGUGCUUACCUUGGUUUUAUUGUUUUCUCUAAUAAAACCUUUUCCUUAAUUACAACAAACAUAGCUCUGCCUUAUCCACAGUGACUCAUUUUCGGGCCUUGGGUAUCUUGAAUCUGCAUUUCUUGGGGUGUAAGUCCCCAGGUGGCGUUGCUGGUUUCUUCCCCUAAAGCCCCGUCACACUGAGUAAGGCUGACCAGAUCCUCCUCCCGCUCGUCACCUCCUGCCAGUAUUUAAACCCGGGUCCUGCAGUCCCCGGUAGUCUGUCUUCUACCCUGGUUCAGGUCCUUUCAGAUACGCCCUGUGUUGUUCCACGGAGAUCACCAGUCGACACUGAGCUGAACAACCAAGAAUCCCUCACCAGCCACCUCGAGUCCCUUCAUCUACAGAUCUAUCUCCUAAUGACUCCUCCAUGAAGAAGGCCC
ensembl:lncRNA